rnacentral:rRNA from 1 species
AGCAGUAGCCGCGGGAAUACGAAGGGGGCUAGCGUUGUUCGGAAUUACUGGGCGUAAAGCGCACGUAGGCGGACAUUUAAGUCAGGGGUGAAAUCCCGGGGCUCAACCCCGGAACUGCCUUUGAUACUGGGUGUCUUGAGUGUGGAAGAGGUCAGUGGAAUUGCGAGUGUAGAGGUGAAAUUCGUAGAUAUUCGCAGGAACACCAGUGGCGAAGGCGGCUGACUGGUCCACAACUGACGCUGAGGUGCGAAAGCGUGGGGAGCAAACAGGAUUAGAUACCCGAGUAGUCCCUGUCUCUUAUAA